UUUGAUGGACACCUCACAUCCAAACCACAGUAGGUCAUCAUUUAUGACUCACCGUCCUCCUUUCCUGGGUGCUUCUCUCUUCCUGUGCUUGGGAGGAUGCCAGGACAAGUCCUUCAGUCCUCAUGAUCCCAGAGUUAUUUCAGAAUUGCCAGCCGGAGGGAGACAUGUCACAGGCAUGACCAGGUUUAGCACUGGAAUUACCCAGAGGACAGCCCUAUCAAUGUCCCACAAACCGGGAGGUUUCAACACAGAAGCAGCAUUGGAACAGGCUGGACGUCUGAGAUCCAGGUCCUUCCUCCACCUCUUGGAAUGAGGCGUGUGGGGGCGGCUCCCGCCACCCUGAGCUCUUUCCCAGGAGCCGCCGCCAAGAGGUUGGAGCCGCGCCGCUGCCCAGGCGCUCCCCGCGAUCUCGGCGGGGACUGGAGGGAGGGGACCUGGCAGCGGGAUCGGACUUCCUCUCUCCACUCCGGAACUGUGAGUCGGGCGGCUGGGACGCGGAAACCCGGGA